rnacentral:rRNA from 1 species
UGAGGAAUAUUGGUCAAUGGACGUAAGUCUGAACCAGCCAAGUCGCGUGAGGGAAGACUGCCCUAUGGGUUGUAAACCUCUUUUAUAAGGGAAGAAUAAGUUCUACGUGUAGAAUGAUGCCUGUACCUUAUGAAUAAGCAUCGGCUAACUCCGUGCCAGCAGCCGCGGUAAUACGGAGGAUGCGAGCGUUAUCCGGAUUUAUUGGGUUUAAAGGGUGCGUAGGCGGUUUAUUAAGUUAGUGGUUAAAUAUUUGAGCUAAACUCAAUUGUGCCAUUAAUACUGGUAAACUGGAGUACAGACGAGGUAGGCGGAAUAAGUUAAGUAGCGGUGAAAUGCAUAGAUAUAACUUAGAACUCCGAUAGCGAAGGCAGCUUACCAGACUGUAACUGACGCUGAUGCACGAGAGCGUGGGUAGCGAACAGG